UAGUCCUAGCUGUAAACGAUGUAGAUUAGGUGUUGGAGGAGUCGAUCCUUUCAGUGCCGAAGUUAACACAUUAAAUCUACCACCUGGGGAGUACGGUCGCAAGACUGAAACUCAAAGGAAUUGACGGGGACCCGCACAAGCGGUGGAGCAUGUGGUUUAAUUCGAGGCUACGCGAGGAACCUUACCUAGGCUUGACAUGAUAGAAGUAGUCCUGAUGAAAGUCGGGGCGACCGUAUCCAAUCGGAGUCUAUUACAGGUGCUGCAUGGCUGUCGUCAGCUCGUGCUGUGAAGUGUUGGGUUAAGUCCCGCAACGAGCGCAACCAUUGCCUUUAGUUGCCAGCGAAUAAUGUCGGGGACUCUAAAGGGACUGCCGGUGACAAACCGGAGGAAGGUGGAGAUGACGUCAAGUCAGCAUGGCCCUUACGCCUAGGGCGACACACGUGCUACAAUGGCCAGUACAAUGGGCAGCCAACCCGCGAGGGGAGCAAAUCCCAAAAAGCUGGCCUC
rnacentral:rRNA from 1 species